AGUGUUGUUUCCAGGCUGAAAAUCAAAACCACAGCACUGCACCAGCUACUAAGAAGGAGAAAAAUGACAGCUACUGCUGAACCCAGGACACUGCCACAUGACUGUACUGGUACAAGGCUUUGGACUCAACAACAUCCAGAAUCUCUUCGCAAACAACAUUAUUCGAAUUCUGGAUUGAAUUUCAGUGUCUUUGAAAAUAAAAUAAAACAGAGUGAAUAGAACACAUCAUUGUUUUCAAAAGAUUACAAACUCUUUCAGACCUUUGGAAUAAAAUAGUUUCUGAA